UAGGGAAUAUUGCUCAAUGGGCGCAAGCCUGAAGCAGCAAUGCCGCGUGAAGGAUGAAGGUCUUCGGAUUGUAAACUUCUUUUGUCAGGGAUGAAGAGAUUCCACUUAAUACGUGGGAAAUUUGACAGUACCUGAAGAAUAACCACCGGCUAACUCCGUGCCAGCAGCUGCGGUAAUACGGAGGGUGGAAGCGUUGAUCGGAUUGACUGGGCGUAAAGGGAGCGUAGGCGGCUUGACAAGUCGGGAGUGAAAUUUCGGGGCUUAACCCCGAAACUGCUUUCGAAACUGUCGAACUAGAGGAUAUUAAGGGAAAGCGGAAUACCACAUGUAGCGGUGAAAUGCGUAGAUAUGUGGUAGAACACCGGUGGUGAAGACGGCUUUCUGUGAUAUUACUGACGCUGAGGCUCGAAAGCAUGGGGAUCAAACAGG
rnacentral:rRNA from 1 species